GGGGGUGGAAAGAGUCGGCAGUUUUAUAAUCUAAAUAUUAUUUAGUUAUAAAUAAGGCUGUACAUGGGUUCGAUUCCCAUCACCUCCACCA
rnacentral:tmRNA from 1 species